CCUACGGGAGGCAGCAGUAGGGAAUGUUCGUCAAUGGGCGCAAGCCUGAACGAGCGAUGCCGCGUGAGUGAAGAAGGCCUUCGGGUCGUAAAGCUCUGUUGCGGGGGAAAAAAGGCAGCAUCAGGAAAUGGGUGCUGACUGAUGGUGCCCCGCCAGAAAGUCACGGCUAACUACGUGCCAGCAGCCGCGGUAAUACGUAGGUGGCGAGCGUUAUCCGGAAGGAUUGGGCGUAAAGGGUGCGCAGGCGGUCCUGCAAGUCUGGAGUGAAACGCAUGAGCUCAACUCAUGCAUGGCUUUGGAAACUGGAGGACUGGAGAGCAGGAGAGGGCGGUGGAACUCCAUGUGUAGCGGUAAAAUGCGUAGAUAUAUGGAAGAACACCAGUGGCGAAGGCGGCCGCCUGGCCUGUUGCUGACGCUGAGGCACGAAAGCGUGGGGAGCAAAUAGGAUUAGAUACCCUAGUAGUC
rnacentral:rRNA from 1 species